AUGUUCUUAGAACCCAUGGGAAUUUUGAUGGUAAACAACUUGGGAGAUGGGACUUUGGAGAAUUCAGCCCCAGCAGGACAUUCUCAGAGCAGUUUCUACAGCUCCUCCCCACCAUGGACUGGGUUUCCCUUCUACCUCUGGCCCUUUAUUUUCUCUACGGGUUUUUGUGCUCUACCUUUGCUGACCCAGCCUCUAUCUGCAUCCGCCUCCGUGGGAUCCUUGGUCAAGCUCACCUGCACCCUGAGCAGUGAGCACAUCAAUUACUUUGUUUACUGGUUUCAACAGCAACCAGGGAAGGCCCCUCAGGAUGUGAUGAAGGUUAAUAAUGACAGAAGCUACAGAAAGGGGGACGGGAUCCCCAGUCACUUUUCAGGCUCCAGCUCUGGGGUUGACUGCUAUUUAACCAUCUCCAAUAUCCAGUCUGAGGAUGAGGAUGAGGAUGAGUCUUACCAUGGUGCAGACUAUGUAAUUGAUGGUCAAUAUGGUUAA